UGGCUAAUGAUUAUGCAUUGUCUUCUC
rnacentral:piRNA from 1 species